rnacentral:rRNA from 2 species
AAAUUGAAGAGUUUGAUCAUGGCUCAGAUUGAACGCUGGCGGCAGGCCUAACACAUGCAAGUCGAACGGUAACAGGAAGAAGCUUGCUUCUUUGCUGACGAGUGGCGGACGGGUGAGUAAUGUCUGGGAAACUGCCUGAUGGAGGGGGAUAACUACUGGAAACGGUAGCUAAUACCGCAUAACGUCGCAAGACCAAAGAGGGGGACCUUCGGGCCUCUUGCCAUCGGAUGUGCCCAGAUGGGAUUAGCUAGUAGGUGG